ensembl:lncRNA
UGUGUGAUCCCAUUGGUUUGCAGAGGUGCACGCUCAGUCAGAACGGUGAUCUAAAUAACAAAGAAGUGGACAACACUCGGGAUACAUUGUGUGCAUUCAUACACAUACCUGAUGCUACCUACCCAUUAGCGACAGUAACUGGGCUGUUAGCUGUAGAGCCAAUGCUACAGCAACAUUAUAAGGAUAACAAGGUAACCAUAUACAGUAAAGCAACACAAUGACAUAGCGUUAAUUUAAUAAUUUAUUUACUUGUCUGCGGUUUGUAGCUGAGCCGAGGAGAGUUGGUACUGAUCUAGAAUCCAUUUUCAGACGUUGAGCAAGUCCAGUUCUGUAUUGGCCCAAGUUGAGGAAGCAGUCUUCGGUGAAAUGUUUGGCGCAGACUGGCGGAUCAUUUUCAGAGAAAAUAAAAUCAACCCACUGGUUCUUUAGAGGCUCGGAUGAAGGAACUAAAAAUAUACUUUUGUGCUCAUGUGUACAUCCAAACACUGAGCCCUCCUUCGCUCAUUUGCGAGCCAUGAUUUCUCUCCAGGAAAUAACUUUUGGUGUGUUCAAAACGCCUCGGAUACCAAUAUUCCGUGGUGCUUCUUUUGUUAAAGCAUUGCCGCAUUCAAAACAGCUCCGAGGUUCGGAAGAGUGUUCAAAGCACUUUCCUUCGAGCUUAAUGUCCGAACCUCCUGGGAACUCCGACCGUUUUGAAUGCAAGACAGGAAAUGACGGAUGGUGUCCGACGCAUCCGGAACACACCAUCAGCUCAUUUUCUCAUGUGCGGUCGCCGAC